rnacentral:lncRNA from 12 species
AUGAUGCCGGCGGCGCAGGCCAGCGGAGCGAGGAGAGCGACACCCCAGGCUUCCCAUCCCCGGAACGGCCGCGUGGAAGCCCAACUCUGUGCCUCGUGGGAGCCUCGAUGUGCCUUCCCUGGAGCAUCCUCCUGCCCCCUGAGGGGCCUUCCCAGAGCCCCCAGGCAUGGCCCCACCCUCCUGCCCCACACGGAUUUCCUCGGGGAGCACCUCAUGCACCCGGCACCUGCACAGGGACCUCUUCCUCAGGACAGUGGCUCCACAGCCCACCCAGGACCAUCUGGGCCCUCAGAAGCUGAUCGGAAGCACUGGGGGGGGGGGGGGUCAGAUGAAGGAAUCAACAAAUGAACCAGAUGCUUUCUGGUUGUCCAAAGAGCUACCUGUGGGGUGGAGCGAUGUCGCACCACCUUGCCUUCUGGACCUGGCUGGAGAGGUGAGUGCACAGCUCCAGGUGGGGUGGGGCGGGUGGUGAUGCUCUCCUGACCACCGUCCUGCCAGCUGGUCUCAAACCUCAGGGGCAGGGAGCGGCUGCUGCAGGCAGACGGGUUUGGGAAACACGGCACCCUAUAUUCUUCUUCAUAUAGCCCCAAACAGUGAGUCUUUGAGUAUAAACCUCGGAUCGGGAUUGUAUUAUGAAAUAUAGAUGCUUUAAAAAAAUGUGUCAUCUCUCAAACAUAUUUGGUGUUGGGAACCUUUCUUCACCUGACGCCGAUGAAUGGGCAUCGUAAGUGGUCGUCCACGUAAAGCAUCCCACGAAGGCCUGUUUGUGGACAGACCCUCUGGGUGCAGGAGGGAGACUGGGGUUGGUGUCUGCUGUCAGGGGGACUCACGCCAGGGCCGCUGCAGGGACUUUUGGAGCAUCCUCUGCAGGUAAAGUCGUUUUUAGCAAGAGAAUUAUGACAAAUUCAUUUUCCAUUAAACAACUGAACUGUGUAAUUGUUACAGAUUAUAAAUUUUUUUUUUUGCAACAGGACAGGGCAUAGUUGGAAAUUAAGCAGAUUCUAUGAACAACCAAACCUAAUGAAUCCUGCAAAGAUUGAGCUGUAAGUGGCAACGUCUGGGAUUGUAGCACACUGCGUGUCAGCGAGUGAACAGUGUUAGGGUAUUAAUUAUGGAACCGUGGGCGGAAUGUGGGGCAGAGAAGUGACCGGGCCUCUGUGGCAGCGUGAUGUCACCCCGGAGCUCCGCGCUCGGCCACCUGCGAGCUGCGGCAGAGACGGAUGAGCGGGGGUGCUGCGGGUCAGAAUCCUGCUAAUGGACCAGGGCUGGCUCCCAGGUCCCAGGCGCUGCUG